CCCCUCCCUCCAGCUCCGUCGGCCUCUCGGUCCCUGAGACCCUUUAACCUGUGAGACGUGCGGGGUCACAGGUGAGGUUCUCGGGAGCCGGGCAGCCGACCCCGCCACGGACCCCGCAA
rnacentral:precursor_RNA from 13 species